rnacentral:lncRNA from 1 species
ACUUCCUGCAUCGCCACCAAUGUGGCCCAGGCCACCAGCCCCCGUGACACUGCAGCCAUCCCCUUUGCUCCCCGUCGUGGCCUCCCGACCGAGCAGCCAGAGUGACCCCGAAAGCCUAAAUCAGCCUGCGGCGCCCUCACCCGUCCUCCAGCUGCCAUCGCCUCCUGGGUGAAGAGGACGCAGCUGGUGACGCGCACUGACGUCCUGCAAGGCCCGCUCCAGGUGCGCCACCUUUGACUGGCAUGCUGAAAGGACAAAGGGACGGAGGCAUUUUACCGGAGAGGACAUCCAUGGGGCCCAGCAGGUCAAAUUCCUUUCUCUAAGUAUGGGAGACAUUUUUAAAAAUAAUGGAGUCCUCCAGGGCCGGCUGCGUGCUGUGGCCUGUGCUCCUCACUGCUUUGGACCCAGGCUGCGCUGUCUCCACCACGACCAAGGACUCACAGAGCUCGCCUGGGGGACCUGGCCCCACAGUCACCCCGUCCGUCAUCAGCCUCAAAUGCCAUCAGCCCGUGAAUGCUGCUCCAUCGUCUGCAUGGCAGCCAAGGAGGUCUCUGCUCCUAAAGCACCUGGGAGCCCUUGGUGAGGGGGGAGUGGGGCAGGGAAGGAGAUGCUGGGGCCCAGCUCUGCUGCUGUGGAUUGUUACAGUGGCCUGGGCCUCUACUCCCGCCUCUGUCCUACCAGGAUGGUGCCAGGUGAUGUGGCGAUGAGUGGGCAUCGCGUGGGGGCCUUGGACGAGCGUGGACACCCCAAUCCCCAGACUGGCCAUUGCCGUGGAGGCAGCGUGAGUGUGACAUGGAGCUCGGUGUCGUGCUGCAGAGGACGCCUCGCGGCUGUACGCGUCAUGAUAGCCAGGGACCCCUCCACAUGUCACUUAGCCAAAGGAUGCAGCCCAGCCUGGGGCUUUCUACCCCAGGCCCGAGGACCUGCAGGGACAAGGACCCCUCAGCGCAGAUGCAGCUCUCAUGAGGCCUGAAACCAAGCUGGACUUGCAGAACUGCGCACGCUCCCUUUCUGAAAGAAACACCCGUUACCGGGUCCAGACUGAAUGUGGGCGUAAGAAAGCGGGAAGGGUCCCCCACAGCAAGAGAGAGACCCUCCCAGUCACUUGGUCAUCUGAGCCUUGAGUGUGUCCGGCCCCAGCCACCAGCCUGUCCCCACUAUCCCUCUUGUCAGCACGGCUGAAAGGAGCUGCCUGGGCACCUGAGGUGGCUGAGGCUCAUCUUUGAGGAGCAUGGAACUCGAGGGGAGAAGUCGCGCCCCCAGGGAAGCCAGGAAACUCUGACACAGAACGCCCAACGUGGACACAGGUGCCAGUUCAGCAGUGACCGUCAAGACCGGGGAAGUGCCCUGUGGUGACCAGGAGAACAAGGAGCUCCUCCAGCAAGCAGGGCUGCAGUGGGAGCUGGGAGGGAGCAGUGCACCUGCCAGCGUGGCCGAGUCACACAGUGCCUGCCCUCACCUGUGGAAUUUGGUGUCAGCUAAAAGGAAGAAGAAAUGGAAACUUAAAUUCUAGCCGGUCAUUUUCUUAAAACUGCAAACAUUUCUCUCGAGUGUGGACUGGCCCGGCUUCGGUGAAAGGUGCCCUCCUACCUAGCAGGGUCUCGGCACUCUGCUGUGUUCUUUGCACCGCGGUCACUAUUUCAGAAACACGGUCCUGAUACUCAUCCUGAUAAUCUCUUAAGAGCGCCCGAGAAGAAGAAUGAAACGCCUGUAUAUCCUGGUUAAGUUUCUAUAAAAUAAGAACAUACACGAUUCAUAAAAUUAUAUGAUUAAUGAUCACAGUAUAAUUACAUAAGAAUUUGUUAUAUAUGUUUCUAUAGAAUAAUAACAUACCCACACAAUUAAUAUAAGGGAUAUGUUGUUAACUGGAAGGGUGUAAAGCAGAAGUUCUUCGGCCCGGGCCUGUCGAUGCCCGCCAGGACUGUUUUCAUGCUGCCUGUGCCUCGGCUCACUUACAGAAGUUCUGACUCAAUACAUCUGGGAUUUCUACUUUCAAAGCAGUACAUGUGAUUUUAUGCCCUUAAAGUAUUUAAGAAACAGAAAGUCAAGUGUUUCACCAAUUUCCGUAGGAAGGGCCGCUCACUGCACGGUGGGGCGAUGCUGGGCGCGAGCCGUGUUUCCGUCUAUUGUUGACUUCCUCACGAUGCUGGCUCAGGCUCAGAGCCUCUCAUCACCGCCUGUGAAAUGGGGACCACCCUCCUAAUCUACUAUCCAGACCUGCCUUCUGGAAGCUCAAUUAUCACGAGCACAUGGUGGAAAACGUGGGCCGGUGAAAACAACUUAACAUGUAAAUGUACAUAAUAAAAUUCCAGGCACAAUACAUAUGAACGCUUUUAGAGAACUUUGGGAGCAAAGCAACUGAUGUCCUGCGUGGAAAGUCCUCUUCUCCCCAUGAAAUUAUCUCAAGGAUCUUCCAUGGGAAGAUGUGACAGAACCAGGACACUACUGCUUAAUAUUUAAUAUCAGAUACUCUUAAAUCACAGGAGCAUAACUAAAGUAUUCUUCGUUUCUUUAGUCAAAUCUCCUUUUCUAUAAAAUGGAGACGGCUUUCAUAUGUUUGGGAAACAUUUUAAUAACGAA